rnacentral:misc_RNA from 1 species
CCAAAUUCUACACUUAAAAUCUUCCUCCCACCUCUCUCUCCCACACUCCACAGUCCACACUUUCUGUCUUUCUUUCCUUUUAAUUCCUUCCAUUUCCUUUCCUUCCUCGAUUCUCUCUCUCUCUCUCUCAUGUCUUUUUCUUCUUUCCCUCUCCCUCUUAAUCCUCCCGUUUCCCUCCACCAUCCCAAACUCCACGCUUUUUCUCCACUCCCAUUCUCAAAGUCCUCCUCCUCACUUUCUUUCUCCAAAUCUCAUGUCUGCUUUUCUUCCUCUUUCCCCGCCCCUUCUUCUUCUUCUUCUUCCGACAGCGAAGACUCACUAUGGCUCCGUGAGGAACAACGCUGGCUUCGGGAGGAGCAGCGAUGGCUCCGGGAAGAGCAGCGGUGGCUUCGCGAGCGUGAGUCACUCCUUAGCGAGAUUCAAUCCUUAAAGCUUCAAAUUCAAGCACUGGAGAAACGAAUUUCACUUCAGGAAGGGGACUUGGUACCAGAGACAAUGGCGAAUGUUAGGGCCUUGUUGCAGGUUUUGACGGAGAAGAAUCGGAUUGCAGAUACUGCGUCGAGCUCGAGCGCCAUUGUGUUUAAGGAGAAGGUGGAGGAUGUGAAGGAAGUGAUCAGUGUUGAAGAGAAAGUGGAGAUAAAGCUGAAUACGUUGAGGAAAGGAAGUGAAGGAGAGGAGGUGCGAGAGAUGCAGGAAGCAUUACUAAAAUUAGGAUUUUACUCAGGCGAGGAAGACAUGGAAUAUUCCAGCUUUUCAAGUGGUACUGAGCGUGCAGUGAAGACUUGGCAAGCAACAUUAGGUGCCCCAGAAGAUGGGAUAAUGACUGCGGAACUUCUGGAGAGGUUAUAUAUGGAGCAACAGAUUAAGGUUGCUGGGUCAAACAUAAGCAUAGAUGAGAAAGGGAGCACUUUAACUGUUUCACAGAAGAAAGGUCCCAAUGGAGCUGCAGUUGUUUCUGUAACAGAAAUAUCAGAAACACAGCAGAAAGUUGUGAAAGAAGAAGGUGCAACAGAAGUUGAGGUAUCUCAACAGCGAGUAUUUCUUCUAGGGGAGAAUCGGUGGGAGGAACCCUCUAGACUUGUUGGCAAAGACAAAAAAGUUGGAGUAAUCAAAACCAAGGAUGCCCUUACAAAGUGCCUUUCUUGUCGUGGGGAGGGCCGUCUAUUAUGCGCAGGUAGUUGCUGCUGGCAAUUCAAAGAAUAUAUCGUUUUCUUUUGUUCUGAAAAUUAGUUAUAUAUCUUUUUCAAGCUUCCUAUCCAAUCAUUCAUGGCAAGGCUGUUGAUUGUGAUCCUCCAUAGUUAAAGAAGGUGUAACAUCUACAUACUAUCUUCCUUGCGUUGUCAACCUGUGUUGUGUACCUUUUCCCCCUCCUACUUUCAUAUUCCAGACAUAAUCUGCCUGUUCAAAUGAGUUUUUAUAUUCUUAAAUAACAGAUAAUAUUUGAGAAUUUACCGAUGUUUCAACUAGCUAUAAGUACAUAAAACAGGUUGCAUACUAAGUAGCAUAUAUUUGCUUUUACUUGAUGCCUAACCUGUGAUUGCUAUUUUUGAGUAUGAUAUUAAGAAGAUUUAAGUGUGGAUAAUUACAUUGAGAUUUGAGAAUUGAGAUGGUAAGAUUUGAUUGCCACGAGCAAUCUAAUGGUAAUUUUAUUUUUUGCCUCCAGAAUUUUGUGUUGUUGUCCAUUAAUCUUUUUCUGUUGCAGAAUGUGAUGGGACAGGCGAACCAAAUAUUGAACCCCAGGUAAGAGGAUUUUCCGUUAGUAUGCUGCCUUUUUUUUUUUUUUAUGGGUGCUUGUAAAUGUUAUUGCAGUGUAAUCCUGAUAUAAGUCUCACAGAUGAGUUAUCAUAUGUAGUUCUUGGAAUGGGUGGAUGAGGGAGCAAAGUGUCCAUACUGUGAAGGCCUUGGAUACACAAUUUGUGAUGUGUGUGAAGGGAAAACAGUGACAUAGGUAUGAUGGAAUUUAUUCAUACUUAAAUGUGUAGCGUCUCUCCAUCAUACGGAAAGAGGGUUGACAUAUGAUACAUGUAAUACACAUCCUGAAGAUGAGUAGUUCAAGAAACCUUCAUUAUUCAUUUAUCGAUUUGGUCAAAAGAUAAAUUAUUUUUGUUGCUUGGCAUUAAAAAUUCACAUAUAGUUGUAGGUCAUGAUACAAACCCCACACUUCCUGGAAAAUAACUUCUUCAAGGUCGAAUGGAGGCUCUUAUACUGUGCGGGUACCCAAUCCAUGCUCUUGGGCUCUAUCGGCCAUCCAAUCUGCAUAACGAUUUCAAUGAAUUGCGACAUUUGACCUGCCAAUUCCUGCUCAACAGUUCCUGGAUUGCGCGAUCAGGGAAUUGUUGACAUGGUUGGGAAACUCACGGCCAAGGCCCAAGGAGUCCCUGAAGGCUGAAGAUCCCACUAAUCAAUAGCGGCCUCCCUAACGAUCCUCUUUUAACUGCCCUGUCAUUUCUUAAAAGUACCAGUUCUUGGGCGGGGUAAGUGUUCUUCAAUCAAACCUUGAUGUUAAGAACCCAAGGCCCUACCAUUUUUCAGCUUUUUUCUUUUUUUUUUUUCGCUUACUC